UACGUAGGCAGCGAGCGUUGUUCGGAGUUACUGGGCGUAAAGGGUGCGUAGGCGGUUGUUUAAGUUUGGUGUGAAAUCUCCCGGCUCAACUGGGAGGGUGCGCCGAAUACUGAAUGACUAGAGUCCGGGAGAGGUGAGUGGAACUCCGAGUGUAGAGGUGAAAUUCGUAGAUAUUCGGAAGAACACCAGUGGCGAAGGCGGCUCGCUGGGACGUGACUGACGCUGAGACACGAAGGCCAGGGGAGCAAACGGG
rnacentral:rRNA from 1 species